rnacentral:rRNA from 1 species
GAGUUUGAUCCUGGCGUGACAACGUAACACUGGCGGCCUGUAUUAAGCGAUGCAAGUCGAGCGGGUAUCUCGUAUACUUCAAUUCUUCGUGCAAAAGAAGUAUUGGGUGAGAGCGGCGAACGGGCGAGUAAUGUAUGGGCUAAUUUGCCUUAAAGCCCGGGAUAGCUACUCGAAAGGGUAGGUAAUACCGGAUGUGCUCGGGUGCCGCAUGGCACCUUAUGUGAAGGCGGGGAUCUUCGGACCUGCCACUUUAAGAUGAGCCCAUAUCCUAUCAGCUAGUUGGUAAGGUAAUGGCUUACCAAGGCUUACGGGUAGCUGGUCUGAGAGGACGACCAGCCACACUGGGACUGAGACACUGCCCANACUCCUACGGGAGGCUGCAGUCGAGAAUAUUUGUCAAUGUACNAAAGUAUGAACAUGCGACGCCGCGUGGAGGACGAAGGCCUUCGGGUUGUAAACUCCUGUCAUGAGGGAGUAAGUGUAUGCAAGCUAAUACCUUGCAUACUUGACAGUACCUCAAGAGGAAGUCACGGCUAACUCUGUGCCAGCAGCCGCGGUAAUACAGAGGUGGCGAGUGUUGUUCGGAUUUACUGGGCGUAAAGGGUCCGCANGCGGUUUUGUGUGUCAGAUGUGAAAGCCCACGGCUUAACCGUGGAAUGGCAUUUGAAACUACAGAACUAGAGUACAGGAGAGGAUAGGGGGAAUUCAUGGUGUAGCGGUGAAAUGCGUAGAUAUCAUGAAAACACCGGUGGCGAAAGCGCCUAUCUGGGACUGAUACUGACGCUCAGGAUUAACGCGAUAAGUGCGCCGCCUGGGAAGUACGNCCGCAAGGUUAAAACUCAAAGGAAUUGACGGGGGCCCGCACAAGCGGUGGAGCAUGUGGCUUAAUUCGAUGCAACGCGAAGAACCUUACCUGGGCUUGACAUGUAACUGCAUACGACCUGAAAGGGACGUAGCCUUCGAGGGUGUUACACAGGUGCUGCAUGGCUGUCGUCAGCUCGUGCCGUGAGGUGUUGGGUUAAGUNCCCGCAACGAGCGCAACCCCUGUGUUUAGUUGCCGUCAGGUAAUGCUGGGCACUCUAAACAGACUGCCGGUGAAAGCCGGAGGGAGGUGGGGAUGACGUCAAGUCAGCAUGGUCCUUAUGUGCCAGGGNUGCACACGUGCUACAAUGGGUAGUACAGAAGGAGGCAAUACCGCGCGGUGGAGCAAAUCCCUAAAACUACCCCCAGUUCAGAUUGGAGUCUGAAAUUCGACUCCAUGAAGUUGGAAUCGCUAGUAAUGGCGCAUCAGCUACGGCGCCGUGAAUACGUUCCCGGGCCUUGUACACACCGCCCGUCACAUCAUGGAAGUUAGCUGCACCCGAAGUCGCUGAUCCAACCCGUCAACGGGGGGAAGGCGCCGAGGGUGUGGCUGAUGACUGGGAUGAAGUAGUAACAAGGUAGCCG